rnacentral:rRNA from 1 species
CGGAGGCAGCAGUGGGGAAUAUUGGUCAAUGGGCGCAAGCCUGAACCAGCCAUGCCGCGUGCAGGAAGACGGCCCGCCGGGUUGUAAACUGCUUUUAUUCGGGAAUAAACCUUUCUACGUGUAGGAAGCUGAAUGUACCGAAGGAAUAAGGAUCGGCUAACUCCGUGCCAGCAGCCGCGGUAAUACGGAGGAUCCAAGCGUUAUCCGGAUUUAUUGGGUUUAAAGGGUGCGUAGGCGGCCUGUUAAGUCAGGGGUGAAAGACGGUAGCUCAACUAUCGCAGUGCCCUUGAUACUGACGGGCUUGAAUAGACUAGAGGUAGGCGGAAUGUGACAAGUAGCGGUGAAAUGCAUAGAUAUGUCACAGAACACCGAUUGCGAAGGCAGCUUACUAUGGUCUGAUUGACGCUGAGGCACGAAAGCGUGGGGAUCAAACAGGAUUAGAUACCCUAGUAGUCA